UCUCCGUAGGUGAACCUGCGGAGGGAUCAUUACAAGUGACCCCGGUCUUACCACCGGGAUGUUCAUAUCCCUUUGUUGUCCGACUCUGUUGCCUCCGGGGCGACCCUGCCUUCGGGCGGGGGCUCCGGGUGGACACUUCAAACUCUUGCGUAACUUUGCAGUCUGAGUAAACUUAAUUAAUAAAUUAAAACUUUUAACAACGGAUCUCUUGGUUCUG
rnacentral:misc_RNA from 1 species